ACGAACGCUGGCGGCGUGCUUAACCCAUGCAAGUCGCACGGAAAGGCCCUGCUUUUGUGGGGUGCUCGAAUGGCGAACGGGUGAGUAACACGUGAGUAACCUGCCCUUGACUUUGGGAUAACUUCAGGAAACUGGGGCUAAUACCGGAUAGGAGCUCCUGCUGCAUGGUGGGGGUUGGAAAGUUUCGGCGGUUGGGGAUGGACUCGCGGCUUAUCAGCUUGUUGGUGGGGUAGUGGCUUACCAAGGCUUUGACGGGUAGCCGGCCUGAGAGGGUGACCGGCCACAUUGGGACUGAGAUACGGCCCAGACUCCUACGGGAGGCAGCAGUGGGGAAUAUUGCACAAUGGGCGGAAGCCUGAUGCAGCAACGCCGCGUGCGGGAUGACGGCCUUCGGGUUGUAAACCGCUUUCGCCUGUGACGAAGCGUGAGUGACGGUAAUGGGUAAAGAAGCACCGGCUAACUACGUG
rnacentral:rRNA from 1 species